CCGGACCGGCGCACGGGUGAGUAACGCGUAUGCGACCUGCCCGUUGCAGGGGGAUAAUCGGGAGAAAUCCCGUCUAAUACCGCGUAAUGCCGCGGGGCUGCAUGGCCCUGCGGCCAAAGGAAGCGAUUCCGGCAACGGAUGGGCAUGCGUGACAUUAGCUAGUUGGCGGGGCAACGGCCCACCAAGGCGACGAUGUCUAGGGGUUCUGAGAGGAAGGUCCCCCACACUGGUACUGAAACACGGACCAGACUCCUACGGAAGGCAGCAG
rnacentral:rRNA from 1 species